CAGUAGCCGCGGGAACACGUAGGGUGCGAGCGUUGUCCGGAAUUAUUGGGCGUAAAGAGCUCGUAGGCGGCUUGUCGCGUCGGAUGUGAAAGCCCGGGGCUUAACUCCGGGUCUGCAUUCGAUACGGGCAGGCUAGAGUGUGGUAGGGGAGAUCGGAAUUCCUGGUGUAGCGGUGAAAUGCGCAGAUAUCAGGAGGAACACCGGUGGCGAAGGCGGAUCUCUGGGCCAUUACUGACGCUGAGGAGCGAAAGCGUGGGGAGCGAACAGGAUUAGAUACCCCCGUAGUCCCUGUCUCUUAUAC
rnacentral:rRNA from 1 species